GUCUACCCCUAUGUCACGGAAUAGCGAAACAGUAAUGACAGCAUCAUCAUUAACGACUGAUCGAAUCAUGACUCGUUUAAGUUCGUGUUUCACUGCAUCAGACACAUGCACCAUGAUUCUAGUGUCUGCCUCUAAAUGUGAACUUGUUGCUUAACUGGAAAUUCAUCACGUGGUGGAUAAGAAAUAAUAUCCUGAGCAUUUAUUGCUAUAACUACCAUACGCAUCCAAUACUUUAUCCACUUGUAUUACAGUUUCAAGGUAUUUUAUUAAGGUAAGAACAUAAUACCCAAUCAACACACUCGUUAGGCCGCAAUUCACAAUCGGAGAGCUGAUUUUCCACAUUUACAAAGACUGUGGUAUUGUUUCUCACAUCCACAAUUUAAAAACUCCUGAUAAGGUGAAGAGGCCUCACAAAUAGUUGUCCAAAAGGGUUUCCAUGGAUUAUAUUUGUUCCUUCGCCAUUCAUACGCGUCUGGACUAGUUAGCAUAGGAACCUUUUCCAAGCUUGUUUCUCAUUCACACCCGCCAUGGUAUAUUGCACGCUUUACAUGCUGAAAAAGAUUAGACCAAGUAGUGGGAAUAGCCUUAAUAAGUCUUUCCUCUUCCAAAAACACCUGUUUUCUUGCUUUGUUAUUAACCCCAUCUGAUAAUUUUUUUUUGAUCUUACAACAAAACCACGUAUCGUUUUCAAUGACAUUAAAUUUAUCAAAUCCAAAUCUGAUAAUGUUGGCUGAUCAAUCAUCAUUCUAAAUGCUAAAGUCACAUCUUCAUACGCCAUUAACGUCACCAACGCAGUUCCUUUUC
rnacentral:lncRNA from 1 species